GGCCUGUGAAGCACCAAUAUUGUCCGUACCAUCUGAGAUACCCUCUUUGAUGUAUACAACUUUUUCAAUUCUGAGGCCU